AGGAAACUCAAUAACAAUUUUGUUUGGGAGUAAACAGUACAGACAAGCUGAAAAUACUGGCAGCCACCAGGAGGAGGGAAGAUGAAGAAAACAUCGUGGCUUUUAAAUGAGGCAUGAGGGGGUUUGAGGAAGAGAGGAAAGUGAAGAGUUACUGCCAACAGCUCAAGCUGAACCAUGACGUCAUCCCAGCCGACAGAAUGCAGUGGAAAUCUACUGAGCAUUUCUGGAAAUGCUUUUGCUUUCAGAUCUCUUCUUUCUUUCUGUCUGAAAAGGCAAAGAUGAAGUGAGAAGUGGGGCAGCCACCUUGCAACCACAGGUAACAAGCUCCAAGAUACUGAGAAGAGAAGAAUGGGAACACAACCCCAAAUCCCCAAUGGCAUCUUUGAUCUGCCUCACCAACCCUGAACUCCGGACCUCCAGGCUUCUUGUUACAUGAGAUUUUGAACAACAACAAAAAAAGAACACUUCAAGUUAUUGUUUGACUCUUUGCUCUUUGCAGGCAAGUCUUUCAGGGAGACUUCCAGAAAGAUGGCAAAUGGCUUUAGCCUCUCUGUGUCUCACUUUCCUCAUCUGUAUAAUAAGAAUCCUCAUGGAGACUUGAGGAAGACCAUCACAGGGUUGAUAUGAAGUUUAAAUACUUACUAUUGAUAAGACGUUAGGGCUAGAGCUGACAUAUACAAAUCCAAUGUGCAUCUGCUGUUAUUUGAGUUAUUACUAUUACUAAUACUACUAAUGUAGAAUAAGAAAAUAUUCAUAAAACUCCACUCUCAAGACCAUCAAAUUAAUCAAAGGGAGCUAAAAGAAAAGAUAAAGACUUCAGUGAAUAAUCUAGACAACAUAUGCAAACCCAUCCAGAUGCUGUCUCAUGAAUUAAACACCCAG